rnacentral:rRNA from 1 species
UGCGUAGGGUGCGAGCGUUGUCCGGAAUUAUUGGGCGUAAAGGGCUCGUAGGCGGCUUGUCACGUCGGGUGUGAAAGCCCGGGGCUUAACCCCGGGUCUGCAUUCGAUACGGGCUAGCUAGAGUGUGGUAGGGGAGAUCGGAAUUCCUGGUGUAGCGGUGAAAUGCGCAGAUAUCAGGAGGAACACCGGUGGCGAAGGCGGAUCUCUGGGCCAUUACUGACGCUGAGGAGCGAAAGCGUGGGGAGCGAACAGG